rnacentral:sRNA from 1 species
UUUUUUUUUUUAUUUUAACAGCGUUUUGAUGCCAACCACGACCAGAGAAUCUCAAGACAGGAGUACCAGCGUGAGGUCGAGACACACCAUGAGAACAACCCAGGGGCUAAAGAUCUUCUCCUGAGACUCUUUGACGCCUUGGACUACGACAACGACAACCAUAUCGACGACCCUGACUACACCCGCCUCUUCACCUCGGCCGACUCGAACAAAAACAAUCUAGUCAGCCAACGCGAGUUCGUCAUAUAUUUCCAUGACUUGGCUGGAGUCCCAAUCACCAGAGGCAACCAACUAUAAAGCAAGUAACAACUUACCAAUGAGAGGAUUACUUCACAUGUGUACACGUCGGUGUCAUGAUUGUAAACUAAUGUCAUUUUCAAUGUGAUUUUUUUUUUACAAAGUGUACAAUAUUGUACAUUUUCUGAAAUAAAUUUACCAUAAUUUUUUAAUACA